rnacentral:rRNA from 1 species
AUGCUCCCCUUCUACCUCUCCCGCUACGGCAACCCGCACUCCCGCACCCACCUCUACGGCUGGGAGUCGGACGCCGCCGUCGAGGAGGCCCGCGCGCGCGUCGCCAGGCUCAUCGGCGCCGACCCCAGGGAGAUCUUCUUCACCUCGGGCGCCACCGAGUGCAACAACAUCGCCGUCAAGGGCGUCAUGCACUUCUACCGCGACCGCCGCCGCCACGUCAUCACCACCCAGACCGAGCACAAGUGCGUCCUCGACUCCUGCAGGUACCUCCAGCAGGAGGGGUUCGAGGUCACCUACCUCCCCGUUCGCCCCGACGGCCUCAUUGACGUCGCGCAGCUCGCCGAUGCCAUCCGCCCCGACACCGGGCUCGUCUCCGUCAUGGCCGUCAACAACGAGAUCGGCGUUGUCCAGCCGCUCGAGGAGAUUGGCCGCAUCUGCCGCGAGAAGGGCGUGCCCUUCCACACAGACGCGGCGCAGGCUCUCGGGAAGAUCCCAAUUGAUGUCAACCAGAUGGGGAUUGGACUCAUGUCGCUGUCUGCUCACAAGAUUUAUGGGCCCAAGGGUGUCGGUGCGCUCUACCUGCGCCGCCGCCCUCGCAUUCGCGUGGAGCCACAGAUGAGUGGGGGUGGCCAGGAACGUGGCAUCCGCAGUGGCACGGUGCCCACGCCAAUUGUUGUUGGAUUUGGUGCUGCCUGCGAAAUUGCAGCCAAAGAGAUGGACUACGACGAGAGGCGAGUUAGUGCUCUGCAGCAGCGUCUGCUUGAUGGCAUCCGUUCCAAGGUUGAUGAUGUUGUCAUCAAUGGUAGCAUGGAGCACCGCGCAUGCACCAGUGCUAGUUUGGAGCCUUCCUAUGUGCUCCGGGCGCUUGGUGUGGAUGAGGACAUGGCACACACCUCCAUUCGAUUUGGCAUUGGCCGCUUCACCACCGAGGAAGAGGUCGACAGAGCAACUGAGCUCACUGUCCAUCAGGUGCUUAAGCUCCGGGAGAUGAGUCCACUCUAUGAGAUGGCUAAGGCAGGCAUCGACAUCAAGAGCAUCCAGUGGUCGCAGCACUGA